rnacentral:lncRNA from 1 species
GCACCGUGCUUUGAUCAGGUCCGCCAGGAUUAAACAGCUAACCGGAUAUAAAUAUUCUGGUGUCUGACGUAAUGAUCUUUUUUUUCGAAAAGGGGAUUCCCCGGCCUCUGCAUCAGAACGAUGCAUACGGCCAUGUUAAUAACCAAAUAAAGAAGUACCAACAUGAUUUCAAAGGUCUCCAAAAGUAAAAAAAAGUACAUAAAGCUCACACAGAGCCAAAUAAAGGCUAGAAACACCAACUAGCCAGGACAAGAUGCCACAACCGGCCGGCUCAAACUAGAUAGGGAAACUAAGUACCUAUCCUAUUACAUGACCGCCAUCCAAACCGGUUGAAGAUAUCCCGAGCUACCAUCUCCCAGCGGAAAGAUCCAGUAACCAAAUGCUCACUGGCCUCCGUCUGGGUGAGUAGCGACCACGAACGGAUCAGUGCCGUAGUUCGGAAUAUGACCUCCAAAAAAUGUAUACAUGAUAUUCUGUUAAAGAUCAAAUUAUUUCUGCAAGUCCAGAUAGUCCACAGCAAAGCACAAACUCCAACCCGAAUAUGUCUCGCUAAACCAGGCUCAAUCCCAUUAAGCCAAGUCCCAAAUAACGCAUUAACAGAAUUCGGUGGAUUGAUAUUAAAAGCAAUGUGGACUGUCUGCCAAAGUACCUUGGCCAACGGGCAAUCAAAAAAGAGGUGUUUGAUAGUCUCAUCCCGAUCGCAGAAACUACACCUAGUAGGUCUUGUUCAAUUACGCUUUUAUCAAGUUGUCCUUAGUUAAAAUAACUUGUUUAUGGACAAACCACAUAAACACUUUUAUUUUCAAAGGAACUUUGACAUCCCAAACAUGCUUAGACGUAGAAAUGGAAUUUGAAUUAAUAACAUCAAUAUACAUUGAUUUAACCGUGAAUACUCCAGACUUAGUCAAUUUCCAACGCAAUUCAUCGGGUUGUUGGGAAAGCUGGACGUCCGUCAGUCUCCUAACUAGACGGAGCCAUUCUUCCCAACGGUUUCCCGCUGGCGUUCAUCGGAACUGGAUAUUAAGGGGGGUAGACUGAAAGACCGAUGCGAUGAAUACCUCACGUCGUUGAACAAUGCGGUACAAAGACGGAUAUUGGAUGGCCAGGGGUGUCCCGCCAAGCCAAGUAUCCUCCCAGAAACGUGUACUCGAGCCGUUUCCAAUCACAAACUUCGUCCUAUUAAAUAAGGCCUGUUUGACUUUCAUCAGGCCUUUUCAGAAAGGCGAAUCGGUCAGCCUGACUGUAACCUGGGACAGAGUUUUUGUCUGGAGGUACUUGCUGCGAAGGAUUUGAGCCCACAUAGCAUCAGUCUCCAAUGAGAGCUUCCACAGCCACUUGCUAAGAAGGCAUUUAUUCUUAACUUCUAGAUUCUCAAUACCUAGACCCCCUUGGUCUUUUGGUCUACAGAUGAUGUCCCAUUUAGCAAGCCGAUAUUUUCUUUUAAGCUCAUCACCCUGCCAAAAGAAACGCGAUCGAUAGAAGUCCAGUCUCUUCCUAACACCAACUGGGACCUCAAAGAACGAUGGGAGAAACAUUGACAUGCUCGUGAGCACUGAAUUAAUCAGGAUUAAUCGGCCUCCGUCUGAUAUGAGCUUACCCUUCCAGCAGCUCAGUUUCUUCUCAAAUCGGUCCUCAAUGCACUUCCACUCUCUGUUUGUCAACCUACGAUGGUGGAUUGGAAUCCCCAAGUAGGAGAAGGGUAACUCUCCCAACUCGCACCCAAACAAUUGCCUAUAAGUAUCCUGUUCAUGUUUGGCCCUACCAAAACAGAACAGCUCGCUCUUAUGAAAGUUAAUCUUUAACCCGGUCAAUUGUUCGAAAAGGCAUAACACAAGCUUCAUAUUACUAGCCUUGGCCAAGUCAUGCUCCAUGAAGAUGAUUGUAUCAUCAGCGUACUGAAGGAUGGAUACACCUCCAUCAAUAAGAUGAGGUACCAAUCCACCUACUUGACCAUUUUCCUUAGCCCUUCCUAUCAAGAUUGCUAAGAUAUCCACCACAAUGUUAAACAAGAUAGGGGACAUCGGAUCUCCUUGUCUGAGGCCUUUAUGUGUCUGGAAGUAAUGACCUAUGUCAUCAUUAACUUUAAUUCCCACACUAUCUUUUUGCGUAAAUGAUUCAACCUGUCGGCGCCAGGCCUCAUCAAAACCUUUCAUACACAAUGACUGUUGGAGGAAUGGCCAUUUGACCUUAUCGUACGCUUUCUCAAAAUCCACCUUAAAAAUUACACCAUCUAAUUUUUUGGAAUGGAUUUCAUGGAGUGUUUCAUGCAGGACGACCACCCCUUCAAGGAUAUUUCUGUCCGGCAGGAAAGCAGUUUGGGACUGUUGCACCACAGAAUGCGCAAUCUGUGUGAGUCUGUUAGUCCCGACUGAAGGAAAUAUGCCCUAGAGGCAAUAAUAAAGAUAUUAUUUAUUUCCUUAUAUCAUGAUAAAUGUUUAUUAUUCAUGCUAGAAUUGUAUUAACCGGAAACAUAAUACAUGUGUGAAUACAUAGACAAACAAAGUGUCACUAGUAUGCCUCUACUUGACUAGCUCGUUAAUCAAAGAUGGUUAUGUUUCCUAACCAUGGACAAAGAGUUGUCAUUUGAUUAACGGGAUCACAUCAUUAGUUGAACGAUCUGAUUGACAUGACCCAUUCCACUAGCUUAGCACCCGAUCGUUUAGUAUGUUGAUAUUGCUUUCUUCAUGACUUAUACAUGUUCCUAUGACUAUGAGAUUAUGUAACUCCCAUGUGCCGGAGGAACACUUUGUGUGCUACCAAACGUCACAACGUAACUGGGUGAUUAUAAAGGUGCUCUACAGGUGUCUCCAAAGAUACAUGUUGGGUUGACGUAUUUCGAGAUUAGGAUUUGUCACUCCGAUCGUCGGAGAGGUAUCUCUGGGCCCUCUCGGUAAAGGUACAUGAGUUAGUUGCGGGAUGAUGCAUUAAGGAACGAGUAAAGAGACUUGCCGAUAAAGAGAUUGAAGUAGGUAUUGGAUACCGACAAUUGAAUCUCGGGCAAGUAACAUACCGAUGACAAAGGGAACAACGUAUGUUGUUAUGCGGUCUGACCAAUAAAGAUCUUCGUAGAAUAUGUAGGAGACAAUAUGGGCAUCCAGGUCCCGUUGUUGGUUAUUGACCGGAGACGUGUCUCGGUCAUGUCUACAUUGUUCUCGAACCGUAGGGUCUGCACGCUUAAAGUUACGAUGACAGUUUCAUUAUGAGUUUAUGUAUUUUGAUGUACCGAAGGUUGUUCGGAGUCCCGGAUGUGAACACGGACAUGACGAGGAGUCUCGAAAUGGUCGAGACAUAAAGAUUGAUAUAUUCGGACACGGGAAGUGUUCCGGGGAAGUUUCGGAUAAAACCGGAGAACCGGGGGGUUACCGGAACCCCCCGGGGGGUUAAUGGGCCUCAUGGGCCUAAAGUGGAGAAGAGGAAAGGCAGCCAGGGCAGGCCGUGCGCCCCCUCUCCCCCUAGUCCGAAUUGGACAAGGAGGGAGGGGCGGCGCCCCCCUUUCCUUCCUCUCCUCUCUCCCUUCCUUCCCCCUCUCCUACUUGGACAAGGAAAGGGAGGGGAGUCCUACUCCCAGUAGGAGUAGGACUCCUCCUGCGCGCCUCCUACUAGGGCCGGCCGCACCCCCCCCCUUGGCUCCUUUAUAUACGGGGGCAAGGGGGCACCCUAGGACACAGAAGUUGAUCUUCGUGAUCGUUACUUAGCCGUGUGUGGUGCCCCCCUCCACGAUAUUACACCUCGAUCAUAUUGUAGCGGUGCUUAGGCGAAGCCCUACGACGGUUAAACAUCAAGAUAGUCACCACGCCGUCGUGCUGACGAAACUCCUCCACCGAAGCUUUGCUGGAUCGGAGCCCCGGGUGCGUCAUCGAGCUGUACGUGUGUCAAGAACUCGGAGGUGCCGGAGUAACGGUGCUUGGAUCGGUUGGACCGGGAAGACGUACGACUACUUCCUCUACGUUGCGUCAACGCUUCCGCGUCGAUCUACAAGGGUACGUAGAUCACACUCUCCCCUCUCGUUGCUAUGCAUCACCAUUAUCUUGCGUGUGCGUAGGAAUUUUUUUUAAAUUACUACGUUACCCAACACCGACCUUGGUGAAAAUUUUGAAACUAACAUUGAGGAGACAUAUCGGCCUGAAUUGCUCAAUUCUCACAGCAUCCGUCUUUUUAGGAAGCAGUGUGAUAGUCCCAAAAUUCAAGUGAAAUAAUUGAAGCUGUCCGGAAAACAGAUCAUGGAACAUAGGUGGUAAAUCCCCCUUAAUAAUGUGCCAGCACUUUUUAUAGAACUCUGCCGGGAAUCCAUCCGGUCCGGGAGCCUUGUUGUUUUUCAUCUGUGCAAUAGCAUCAAAAACCUCCUUCUCCGAAAACGGGGCAACCAGAAUAUCAUUAUCAGCAGCUGAUAGCUGAGGUACGUUCUCAGUCCUGGACUCAUCGGGGGACACACAAUUAUCCUCCGGAGGUCCAAAUAACUGCUUAUAAUAGUCGGUAAUAUAUGUUUUUAGGUUAUCCUGACCUAAAAUAGUGCCCUCGUCUUGCUCAAGCUGAAAGAUACGCUUCUUUCUGUGCUUGCCAUUAGCUAUCAAAUGGAAGAACUGAGUGUUCGCAUCCCCUUGGACCACUUUGCGGACUUUGGCACGCAAAGCCCACUUCAAUUCUUCUUCGCGAAACAGUUCUUUCAGCCUCUUCUCCGCCUCAUUUUUAGCCUGAAGCUGAGCUGGCGACAAGAUAUUGACUUCGGCCUAUAUGUCCAGGGCCUGUAUAAGAGUAAGGAGUCUAUCCUUUUCAAUCUUAUACACACCACUGAGGUUCUUAGCCCAACCCCGUAAGAAACUUCUUAAAUGCCUAAUCUUAUUAUGCCAACACUCUAUCUCAUUCUUGCCUCCUACACCUCUAUCCCAUUCCCUGGCGAUCAAGUCCAAGAACCCCUCACGUUCAAACCAAGACAUCUCGAAGGAGAAGGUAUUCUUGUUACCCUCAUGGUUCGGCUCCCCUGAGUCCACGAACAAUGGGGUGUGAUCAGAUAUUCCCCUCGAAAGAGCUUGCACCGUAACCAGAGGGAACUUUUGUUCCCACUCCACGCUCGCAAGUACUCGAUCAAGUUUUUCAUAGGUUGGGUUUGGUAGAGCAUUAGCCCAGGUGAACUUUCUCCCAGAAAGCUCUAUCUCUCUCAGAUCCAAGAUUUCAAUAAUGGUGUUGAACAUAAACGACCAUCUGCCGUCAAAGUUAUCAUUGUUCUUCUCCUCUCUCCUCCUGAUGAUAUUGAAAUCACCUCCAACUAAAAUUGGAAGCUGUUCUGACCCACAGAUUCGAACAAGGUACGCCAGAAACUCCGCUUUAAGUUCAGGCUGUGCGUCACCAUAAACCGCCACCAAAGCCUAGUUAAAACCAUCUACCCUAGACCUGACUCGAAACUUGACCACGAAGUCUCCCAUCACGACACUUCGGACUUCAAGCGAAUCGCAUCUCACACCUAGUAAGAUACCACCUGAUCUUCCUCGCGGAGGGAGGCAAUGCCAAUCGAAAUCAAUACCACCAACAAGAGAAGAGAGAAACUGGGGCGCAAAGUUUUCUCUACCCGUCUCCGAUAGAGCAACAAAAUCUAACCUCUGCUCUAGAGCUGCCUCAGCUAGGAAUCUUCUUUUAGCCAAGUCCUUCAGACCUCUGCUAUUCCAAAAAAUUCCUCUCAUAGUUCAUCAUGGAAUUUUUUAGUAACUCGAAUCCUAGCACUCCUAUGAACUACGGAAUCUGGAUAGAUCUUCCGUUUCCACUUACGCUUAGGUUUACUAGGCUCAGUCACCCGGUCCUCAUAACCGGGUUCACAUAUAUUGCUAGCCUCAUUCUCUAGGGGUACAUCAUCUUCCUCAGAGUCAUGAUUGGGGGGUGCUAGAUCCGCACACAGAUUAUCGAGCACUCUAACCCCUAACGCAUCAAUCUCAUCAUCAUUCAUGACGUAAUGACCUGAUCAUCGUCUUUCAAACAAUUUUCCGCGAUAAGUUGGGCAUGAAACAGGAUGGGCCGCUUUGAUGCCAGGACAAUCAUUUUAGGUUUUUUAGGCUUAUGCCCUUGGUUGGUUCCCACUACUCUUAGAUUUCGGACCUACACAGUUUUACCCUUGUUUCAAUAUAAAACCAUUUUUUUAUUUUCGAUUUGAACUCAAUUUCAUCAAUUCUGAAGUUGCUACCCACAUGUGUGAUGUGGUCUGUUAGACCAUUGCUUAGGGCAUCUCCAAUGCAGACUCCUACUCCGGCCUCAAAUGUCUGGACCGGAUGGUUCAGACACUUUAGGCCUCCAAUGUGGACUCCUACUUUGGGCCGGACACGUCCAAAAUCACUCAGUCCGUCCACAAAUCGAGAGGCAGGGUUGGGGAGUCUAGGCGUCAUCAUGCCCCAUUACUACAUCUUAACCCAGCAACCACCUCCUUGAC